UGACCGCGAGGUUUCGUGUUCGAUCAGUGUUAUUUCACUCGUUGCGCACCUGCGAGCGAUUUGCGGCGCGAUUUCGGAUAAAAGAAAGGAAAAAUAGAGCAAGUUGAAGUGGUAGAGACGUAUCAAGGGUUUAAAGAAAAAAUAAUCAUCGAUUCAACUUCAAAGGCGCCCCAAUAAAGGAAACUCACUUUACAAGAAACAACAAUUAUAAGAUCGAAGUUACUUCCCGACCUACCUAAUCAUUCACUCGUGAUUUUGUGAAUAUCGCUCGAAGAUCGUUACCCAAUGAUCAGAGCUAGACCAUUGUGUAAUACAUAAUCGUUCGAAGAGGACCAUUGAUAACGUCGGACCUUCGCAGUGAUAUCGCGGUAAUAUUUCAGUCAAGCUGCCAAUAAAUUUCAUCACUCGCUGUCUGAUCGUCGGUGUAUCGGUCGAUACGUGCCGUUUGCUUGUGGAAGACACAUUUUUAUGCGGCGUCGCGCGAACGUCGAACGUGAUCCUAAAAACGUGUUCAACGCCGGACAUUGGCGGAAGGAUUUGUCGCGAUCGUAAUUAAAAUCGCGGGAGAAACGUGAAACGAAUCAUGUCGUUGGAUAAAACGGACACGACAGGACAAUUUGUGAAAGUACGAUCGGAGAGGACUGGCUUUAAACCUAUUGAACGAUGGCGUAUCACGAGGAACGUUCUGAUAAUUGGAAUCGCGUUUAUGGUGAACUUCACGGCAUUCAUGGGGGCGACGAAUUUACAGAGCUCGAUUAAUGCCGAUGGAUCGUUGGGUACCUUCACGCUGGCGUCAAUUUAUGGCAGUCUGAUCUUCAGCAAUAUCUUUCUGCCGACUCUGAUUAUAAGCUGGCUGGGCUGUAAAUGGACCAUAUCAUUGUCCAUUCUGACUUACGUGCCGUUUAUGGCUGCACAAUUCUACCCAAAAUUCUACACCAUGAUACCAGCUGGGUUGAUGGUUGGUAUCGGUGCAGGGCCACUCUGGUGCGCCAAAUGCACUUAUUUAACGGUCGUCGCAGAAGCAUACACCACUCUAUCGAAUGUAGCCCAGGAUGUCCUCGUCACGAGAUUCUUCGGCCUGUUUUUCAUGUUUUACCAGAUGGCACAAGUCUGGGGGAAUCUUAUAUCUUCGGCAGUCCUUUCAUAUGGAAUCGACACGGUGCCAACGAAUAUUACACUGAAUAGUAGCAUUGUGGCGGAGGCGUGUGGUGCCAAAUUUUGCGGUGCAACUUCCGAUACCGACGACAGUCCGAAUUUGGAACGACCUCCAGAGGAAAGAAUUCAUCUAAUCUGCGGCAUCUAUUUGGGCUGUAUGAUAGUCGCUUCAUUGAUUGUGAUGUUUGGAGUUGACUCGCUCUCGAGGUAUGACAGAGGUAGAUCAGGAUCAGCGACAGGCCAGUCAGGAUUCAAAUUGUUGGCUGUGACACUGAAACUAUUGAAGGAGAAAAACCAGAUCCUUAUACUGCCAAUAAUAAUAUUCAUUGGAGCGGAGCAAGCAUUCUUAUUCGCUGAUUACAAUGCUUCAUUUGUCUCAUGUGCAUGGGGAAUCAACAAUAUCGGUUAUGUAAUGAUUUGUUUCGGUGUGACGAACGCUAUAGCUGCUUUAGGUACAGGAUCUAUAAUGAAACUAACAGGAAGAAGACCUUUGAUGAUAUUAGCUUUUUGUAUUCACAUGGGAAUUUUUACUUUCCUGUUGCGUUGGAAACCCACUCCUGAUCAAAAUCAAAUAUUCUUUUUGAUGUCUGGAUUAUGGGGUCUUUGUGACGCUAUGUGGCUGGUACAAAUAAACGCUCUGUCAGGUUUGCUGUUCCCAGGCAAAGAAGAAGCCGCUUUUUCGAACUUCCGACUGUGGGAGUCCACAGGUUCUGUGAUCACAUACGUGUACAGUCCUUACCUCUGCACUCAAACGAAGCUGUACUGUCUAAUAGCAAUCCUCUGUCUUGGAAUGAUUGGUUACGGUAUAAUCGAGUGGACUGGGAAAGCCGAUAGAUCGGUUCCAGAAUCGAAACCAGAUUUCGAAUUGGUGACAAAUGGCGAAUUGAACGACACGACGAAACUUUGAGUUGACAAGAAUAAAAUUAAUGAAUCCUUUCAAUUAGAAAUAUGAUCUCUUGUCAGACGUUGCUCUGUAUGAACCUCAGUUUUGUUAGUUAGUUUAAAACAAUAAUUCUCAGGUAUAAAUGCUUCGUCAUGAUGUGACUAGAAAAUUACAGGAAUUUUGUUGAUAUGUAAAAUUAUUUUAUAAUCGAGUCAUUGUGUUAAAGAGAGGGCGAUGAAUUAAAGAAGAAACAAAAGGAGCUGAUUUUACUAGCGAUAAUUCUUCGGAUUAUUUUGAAAACGCUCGACAAUAGGAUUAUCGGUGUGAAUAAUAUUAUAAUUGCGGUAUACAUAUCGUAUAUAUAGAAAUCAUACACAAAUCAGAUCGGCAUAUAAAAAAUUAUAUGUACAAGAAAGAGUUCGGUUGGAGGCGCAGUCAGGACCUUGAAGAUAAACAACGAGUAAAACCAAAAAGGAAGGAGAAUAAAAAAAUAGGAUAAAUAGGGAAAAGUGGAAGAAUAGACAAAUAGAGAAGAGGAAACAUAGUGGGCAUUUUGCGAGACAUUCAUCCCCCUUGACUGAUUGGCCCGCGUCCCUAGCCGACGAACUUUCACGAAUGGAACGGUCGAGGGUAUCGCGACGUCGCCGUCGCACAAAUGAAAUUAGCGAUCGAAGCGUCGCUGCCGCUUCGAAAAAACCUCGUAACCGUAAACAGGAGAACUUCCGCUGGGAAUCGCGACUAAACGAGCCAAACGCGUGAGAAAGGGUGAAAUGUAGCGAGAAAGACAGAGACGGCGAGCGAGAAGGAGGGAGAGAAGAGGAUGAAGGGUCGGCCGUCCUCGACGCACACAACACACAGAGGGUUGGCCGACGGGGGGAUAGAGGCGUAGGUGGACGCCGCUGUGGAAUUUAUGUUUUUAAUUUAACUCCGUAUGACCAACUGUCGAGCCCCGCCGAAAAAAGUGCAGGCUGAGCCAUUAGCAUCGCGCGGUGAUAUUUCGUCGAAUCCGCGAAAACAAUAUGCUAAUGGAGAAGCCGGCGAGCGCGAAGAACCGAUGCUUCGAAACCAGCUACCCCCCUCGGACAGGGGGGUGAGUUUUCAACGGAGGCUGACGAACGACCAUGGGAUUCGAGUAGGGGUGGUACGGGGCGAUACGUCCACGCUACGCCGCUGUUUAAUAGGGAAAAAUUAAUGGGGCAUUUAGAUGGUGAUGAGGUAGACUCGAUGGAAUAAGGAAAUGUUUUAGUUCGAAUUUUGUACGCGUUUCAGGAAAAAAUGGUAAAAUAUCAGUAUGUUAUAAAUUUGUUGUAACAAUCCCGUUUCGUUUUCGAUUUCGAUUUUGAAAAAUAGAUUAUAUAAUAUAAAUAUUAUUGCGUUGAAAAUGGUAAUCUGAUGGAGAAAAAUUAAUGGUGUAUUUAGAUAAUGACGAGGUAGGCUUGAUGGAAUAACGAGAUAUUUUAUUUCGAAUUUUUUACGCGCUGCCGCUGAAAAUGGUAAAAUGUUAAUAUAUUACAAUUUUGUUGUCAUAAUGUCUGAGAGUUCUAAGAGUGAAUUACAACAUAUUAAUGCGUUUAAAGAUGGUAAUUGCGAUGGCAUAGUUUCAUUCCUGAUCUUUUGUUUAUUUAUUCAUUGUAUUUGUUUCUUUUACUUGUUCUGUGUGUAGACAUCAUCAAGUCUUGAUAAUACGUUAAAUAUUUAUGUAUCAAUAUUAUGUAUGUUUGUAUCAGAGUAAAUUAUUCUAUUAUUGUAUUAAAAUAGUUAUGACGGGUAGUUUUAUU